rnacentral:rRNA from 1 species
GAGGAAUAUUGGUCAAUGGGCGCAAGCCUGAACCAGCCAUGCCGCGUGCAGGAAGACGGUCCUAUGGAUUGUAAACUGCUUUUAUACAGGAAGAAACCUCCCUACGUGUAGGGACUUGACGGUACUGUAGGAAUAAGGAUCGGCUAACUCCGUGCCAGCAGCCGCGGUAAUACGGAGGAUCCAAGCGUUAUCCGGAAUCAUUGGGUUUAAAGGGUCCGUAGGCGGUCUUAUAAGUCAGUGGUGAAAGCCCAUCGCUCAACGAUGGAACUGCCAUUGAUACUGUAAGACUUGAAUGCUUAGGAAGUAACUAGAAUAUGUAGUGUAGCGGUGAAAUGCUUAGAUAUUACAUGGAAUACCAAUUGCGAAGGCAGGUUACUACUAAGUGAUUGACGCUGAUGGACGAAAGCGUGGGGAGCGAAC